AAUAAAUAAUAAUAAUAUAGCACUUGGACAAAACUUCAAACAUUUUGAGACAAACGUUUCAGCUAAUGAAGGCAUUGGCUGAAAACAGCAUCUGCUUACAGUUUCAUGCCUAUUUAUUUAAGAGGUUUCCAGAUAGCACUUUCAACACUGUGGUGUACAUAUGCUGCAAUGUACUGUUAAGUGUAGUUAUGUAAGUCAACAUUAAUGACCCAAUCAUUGCAAUGUACUGAAGUAUUGUUAUAUAACUCAGCGUUAAUGACUCAAGCAUAACAUCUCUAAUCACAGUGGAAAGGAGUCUUUAAACCAGUUAAAUUAUUAAAAUAUAAACCUUCACUCUUUUGUAUUUUUUUUUUCAUCUUCUAAAGAGACUGAAAACCUCUUUAGCGAUGUUUUGAUUUUCAUAACCUUGGGCUCUUUCUAAAUGAUUUAAACAAGCCUAGCAUUUAAAUGCACCCAUGUUCAGAUGGAUUGUAUAGACCCACAGUAAUACCUGUUCAGGUGGAUUGAAUAGACCCACAAUAAUUUACCUGCCUGUACUCCACGAGACAGUUACAGCAGCUUGGCUCUAUCUUCCUACUGUCUACAGGACCGCUGGCCGUUUCUGAAGACACUGAAUCUGUAGCUAGAAUCUCGAUACAGAUCGCGCAGCUCAUGAAAUCAGCUCUCAUGUUUCUUUGUAACAAGGUGGAAACAGAAAAAAAGCCAGCCUUUGGGAAAUCUGAUAAGAGAACCACAUUAAGAUUAUUUAAAGAAAUGAACCAGUGUCAAUGUGGUUUACAAGUGCAUAAUUCCCAGUACAUACGUAUCUGCAUUCACCAGUGUAGUCCAGCGCUCACUGUUGAUCCCCUAUCUUAAUCUGAGAAGGCAAAAGCACCAUUACUGAGUGUUAAUGGUAGAUGCAGCAAGUGUGCUUACCAACUCUUAUUUUUCACUAAGUCAAUGAGGAAUUAAAAAAAAACUAUUUUUAAAAUGUUUAUCUACACAACUUAGGGUAGUAAACUGGGAACCGUGAUUUCAGAUGUCUAAGCAAACCAGUGUUAACGUAUGAUACACAUAACCUGUAAUUAAUUACUGUUGAGUAACACAAACAUAUGACUAAUUGAAUUGGUACAAAACACACAUAUCAACGGCACAGCCAGUUAGGAAGUCAGUCCGCAAAAAAAAACUACUCAAGAUCUAUUGAAUUAAUCUAAAUUACAGCACUUCUGAAACCAGAUCUGAGUAAUUUAAAAACAUAAGGAAUUAUUUUAACUUAUGCAAGGCUUGGUAAAUGAUACUUGUGCGCUGCAUACAGAUGGGGUUGUGUGCUUGUUUAUCCUCACUCUUUGGAAGGAAGGCAAGCAGCUGGCUUGGAAGCGUGUCCAGGGAGCAUCGCAGAAGGCAGCACUCUACUAAUGGCAAGAACACCAAAACACGUGCAAGGAAAUAUCUAGUGAUAACAGAGUCUGCUUUAAAUGCGUCAACAUGGAACCCAAAAAUCAAGGGUUUUGCUUGGUUGAUAUUUUAAUUGCUAGAGAAAAGAAAAAGCUGAACACUUUGUUUUCUAUUGUUUCUAACAUAUAUAAUUCCGACUUCCUGUUCUGAAAAGCAAUAUAUCAACGCGAGUCCUGUUUUUUUUUUUUUUUUUUUUAACCUUACUGGCAUGGCUAGAAAUUGGACUGGAAUUUACUCCCGUAUGCAAAUUACCAGCAUCUUCUCCAUCCCCCAAUGUUGCCAACUGUCGACAGUUUUUAGGGAGCCGUUUGCAUAGUGGCUUUUCGGGCAGCUGUUCACACGCGUGCCAAAGAUGACCCGUUCCAUCAAGAAAAUCUGUGCUCCUUUGGCAGGCAGUCUGCUGCAAAUAACAUUAGCAGGUUUACUUCCAGCGCAAAAACAAGUAGAUUUAAUAUUGCCAGGGAAGGGGUUGGGAGAAAUGGCAUGGGUUUAGUGCCUUCCUUCUGCCUGUGUAACUCCAAGGUGGAUCAGAGCUAAAGGCUUUGUCUUUGCCUGUGAAAAUAGGUCCUGUAUUCCAGCAAACCACACAUUCUAGGAACACUGAAAAGGGGACCUUCUGGGACCAAUGAAACACAAACAGCUUUUAGAAGAGAAACAUUUUCAUGACCUGACCUGCUACUUGUAUAGACAAGUGUCCCUCCUUGUGUCCGUGUGAACAGUCUUCCCAUUGAGCUCCACAAUUAAACACUACAGCCUUACAGUAAGAAAGAAAGGCAUUGGAAGCCUGCCAGGGGGAUGCAGAGCAGCACAUCCGCAAGCUUGGUUUUAACUGUAGUGGAAUCAGAAUCCUGAUCGUUCUACAUGUGUGCGGAAUUCUAUAUACAACCCAAUCCUGGCCUAACCACUACCUGCAUGCAUUUAAAUAGCCCUUCAAUAAGCAUUUUUACCAAAUGCCUGCACAAUAAGUUAUAUUCUUGAGAAAUAAAAGGGCUUAUGCACUUGUUGUCACAUAACACAGGAACAUUGUUUCAAUGGCUACAAACAAGAACUGAUUGAAGUAAAACAUUCUUCAUUUGCUUAAGGUUUAAAAUGCACGGUACUGACAAAGUGCCAUUGAUUUAAAGAUAAACAUUGCGAACAUGGCGCAAAAAAAUAGCAAAUACAUUUUUAGGAAGCAAAAGAAAAACAAUAAACUGCUCAUUAAUAUGAAUCCCCUUAAAUUUGAAAGCGCAAAUGCAAUCUUUUUAAAUAAUUUUUAUUUUGUUAUUAUUAUUAUGAGAGCCGAUGUAUAGGAUUUUAUUACACAAUUAGACUUGAGGGUUAGCAACCCAUGUUUAUAUGAUGGUCAUGCAUUUGCAUCUUUUUAAACUUUUUUUUGUUUGCAAACGAGGUACUGAAAGGUGUACGUUCAGAAUUGCACAAGAGAGCAAAGACAUCGGGCAUGUCACAAGCUCCUUGACUGACGUGUCUUUUCUAUGCAUUUCCUCUGCUCUCUUGCCCUUCAGAUUAUUUGGCUAUAAGAGCAUAUCACAAAAACUGAACUGAUUUAAUGGUUCCAGCUGGAAACAUUCUGUUAGCUCUGCAAAUUAAAUGUUGCAAUAGCGUUUCAUUAACAUAUAAUAACAUCAAAUGUUGGUCAAUUAAAGGUCUAAUAAUUCAGUGCUAAUUAGUAUUUAAUGUGUAGCAUGACAGUCUACAGAGACGCAUGUAGUAUUAAUGGAUGUGUACUGACAAUGGAUCUUUAAAACAACCAAGCAGUUGCGUCCUAUUAAAUGUUAACGAGCUAUGGAAUGCUUUGUCAGUUAAUCAAGAUACAGUGCUAGAAACACACUGCACACACAGCACCAGCAACUUCAUCACCAAUUCCUUCUGCUGAAUCUUUAACCACAACUUUGUGUUACAUGCAAAAAAAAGCAACGUUCCCCCAAAUGUCCACCAUUAGAUCAAAAGACCCAAAGCAUCUGUUUCUAAUUGACUUUUUUUUUUUUUUUUUUUUAACAAAAGUGUAAAGGAGUGUAAUACAACAUAUCUGGGAUCCCUGGAAGCUGCCAAUAAAUAAUUCAAUUAGAAAUCCACUGCCUUUUAAAAGAGGGGAUCUUAUAUGAUAAAUCAUUGACCCCUUACUUCCAUGUUCAGGUAACUUAUCUGUGUUCAGUGUCUUGCCUAUAAUUGCAGUUCUUUUGCUCCAGUUAGGGAGCAUCUCAAUUUUGUAUGCUUCAUUUCUAUGUAAAAUAAUAAUAAUAAUAAUAAUAAUAAUAAUAAUAAUAAUAAUAAUAAUAAUGAAAGAAAAAAGUAAAGUGUAUAGAAUUGGAAACUGAAGUCUUUGUUCAUAUGGGGGAAGAAAAACAAAAGUAUUUACACAACAGUGUCUUCAUUACCUUCAUUAAAUCAACCAGUAGAUGCUGUAUUAAUUAUAUGAAGUCUUUGAAUGUUUCUACAAAUGAAGGGAUACAAAUGUGUGUGUGUGUAAAAUAUAUAUAUAAAAUGAAAUAGUGUUGAAAAGCACUUUGAGAGCUUCGUGCGCCAUAGUAUUAAGAAAAAUAAAACAAACUGUUAACAGGGAAAAGGUACCCUUAACAUAAGGGUGUGUGGGUAAUGGUGGAGAGGAGUCUAGUAUAACCCACUGACUUGCAAAACUCCAGCAGACCUUAGUGAGUUAACUUCAAGCAGCAUGAAACGCAGUGCACUGUGUGAGCGUGUCAAUCAGACCCUUCCUAUUAGCAGAGAGGAAAAAUACCAGAAGCACCAGGGUAUGUGCAAUGCAAUCCUAUGCAGAUACUAACCAGCAUGCACCAGCAGGGCCCCACAUACAGUACUACCUAGUCCUCCAGAAAGCUAUUCUUUAUUCAAGUGGAAAUAUGAGGAUGAAGAGGCAGAAUGAACAAGUCCAAGUGAAAAGAACAAAAGUCCUUCAGCAGUGGCUCACAUGAAGGGAGGUUUAGUUCAGCAGUGGCUCACAAAGAGGUUUAGUUCUGCAGUGGCUCACACAAAGGGAGGUUUAGUUCUGCAGUGGCUCACACGAAGGGAGGUUUAGUUCUGCAGUGGCUCACACGAAGGGAGGUUUAGUUCUGCAGUGGCUCACACGAGGGGAGGUUUAGUUCUGCAGUGGCUGACACAGAGGGUUGGUUCUGCAGUAGCUGACACAGAGGUUUAGUUCAGCAAUGGCUCACAUGAAGGGAGGUUUAGUUCUGCAGUGGCUGACACAGAGGUUUAGUUCUGCAGUGGCUCAUAUGAAGGGAGGUUUAGUUCUGCAGUGGCUCACAAAGAGGUUUAGUUCUGCAGUGGCUCACAAAGAGGUUUAGUUCUGCAGAGGCGCACACAAAGGGAGGUUUAGUUCUGCAGUGGCUCACACGAAGGGAGGUUUAGUUCUGCAGUGGCUCACACGAAGGGAGGUUUAGUUCUGCAGUGGCUCACACGAAGGGAGGUUUAGUUCUGCAGUGGCUCACACAAGGGGAGGUUUAGUUCUGCAGUGGCUCACACGAAGGGAGGUUUAGUUCUGCAGUGGCUCACACGAAGGGAGGUUUAGUUGCCAGUGGAAAGGACCAUGUUGUAAACAUGUAUUGCAAUGACACAAGCAUGCUAUCCUUGUAAAGUUUUUAGCGAGUUUGUUUAUGUACAGAGCAGGGUAACUGUUGGAGCUAUUGAUUACAUAUUGUAUAGUUGUAAGGGUUGAUUUUUAUUGCUUUAUGUAUAAAUAAAUAAAAAGGAAUAUUCCAUCUGUUAGCUUUGGAUUUCCAAUGUGUUGCACAAGUUUUGCAGAUCCGUUUUGGUUUGUCUGUUCUUUUGUUAUUUUUUUUUGCUUAUUGUAUGUUUUAUUUUAUUAAAAAACAGUAAUAUGUAAAUGUACAAAACUUUUAAA